AAAUUGAAGAGUUUGAUCAUGGCUCAGAUUGAACGCUGGCGGCAGGCCUAACACAUGCAAGUCGAACGGUAACAGGAAGCAGCUUGCUGUUUCGCUGACGAGUGGCGGACGGGUGAGUAAUGUCUGGGAAACUGCCUGAUGGAGGGGGAUAACUACUGGAAACGGUGGCUAAUACCGCAUAACGUCGCAAGACCAAAGAGGGGGACCUUCGGGCCUCUUGCCAUCAGAUGUGCCCAGAUGGGAUUAGCUAGUUGGUGAGGUAACGGCUCACCAAGGCGACGAUCCC
rnacentral:rRNA from 1 species